GAUGAAGAACGCAGCGAAAUGCGAUAAGUAAUGUGAAUUGCAGAAUUCAGUGUAUCAUCGAAUCUUUGAACGCACCUUGCACUCCUUGGUAUUCCGAGGAGUACGCCUGUUCGAGUGUUAUGAAGCUCUCAAAACGCAAUUGGCUUAAAACCUGAUUGUUGUUUUGGAUUUGAACUUUGCCGUGUUAUAACGGCUGGUUUUAAAAGUAUUAGCUGGUACUAGAACGAAUUGGUUCUACUCAACGUGAUAAUUAUCUGAUCGUUGAGGACAUUCCUUUCACGAGGAAUGGCCAUAGUAAAUUCAAUGGACUGCUUCUAAUCUGGCUUUAAUUCUUUAUUGGAUUAACCACUUUUCAAAUCUGACCUCGAAUCAGGUGGGACUACCCGCUGAACUUAAGCAUAUCAAUAAGCGGAGGA
rnacentral:misc_RNA from 1 species